GGGUUGUGACUCAGUUGGUAUAGUGCUUGCCUAGCAUGUAUGAGGCACUAGGUUCAAUUCUCAAUACCA
rnacentral:tRNA from 1 species